CACUUACUCUGCAGGACGCGUCGCUCCGAGGAGGAGCCUCGGCUCGCCGGCCCGGUCGCGCCCUAGUGCCUCUUCUCCGGCGACGGGCAGCCGCCGGUAGCAGUUUAGCCACUGCUCAUGGUUUAGCGCAAGGUCACACAUCACGUCAAAUUUCGGUAAUCAGUAGGAAACAACACUCGGUACUAUCUACUAGUGUGAGAAGAGAGAAACAUGGGGAGGCUCAAGUGGAUUAUAUGCAUGCCAAGAUCAAGACCAAGACCAAGACUUGGAGCAUACAGUGAGUCUUUGAUAUGAAUGAUUGCCCCCGAUGAUUGAUUGGUGUCUCAUUUCUUAUCUCCUCAAUUAUAUGCAUGCCAAGACAAAGACAAAGACCAAGACCAAGACUUGGAGCAUAUAUUGUGCUUCUGGGUGAAAUCAAGAUGGGAUACCCUCCACUGUCAUUCCCAUCCAGUGCCCCCUUCCUUGUCCAACCAAUAUGGCUGUUGAGCUUCGGCAUCUCGCCCAAGCAGCUGCAGCGAUACUUUGUCUCCUUAUUUCCCAUGUAGCAGCAUGUGGGACACUGAUGCUAUAAGUAAUCUAUACUACAUUGGUCUGUA